UUAGUUCUCCUCCAAAAGAAAUCCUCUCAAAGUCUCACUUAUGUUAUGAAUGCUGCUGGAAACAAUGAGACAUUACUCGUUACAAAUAGUUUCCACACUUUUUCUUUCCUUGAUCCACUCAUCCACCUAAAUAACAGGCCAAGAAAAGUCUCUCUCUACCCAAAACUUUACUUCCAAGUUCCAAGUCUUCUCUGUCUUUCUCAGCAAUUCAUUAUUCAUUCAAUCUUCCUCCCACCUUUUGUUUUACUCUUUUACAUAGUGUUCUUCCAUCAACAUCUCAGACUCUUCAAAUUCCUAUCUAAGAUUUUUCAACUCGUUUGCUCAACCAUACUUUCUCCAAUCACAUCUUCACCUCCAAAAUUUUACUUCUUUACCAAUUCAAUUGAAUCCUCCUCUAUUGAUUAGUUGAUAAAAUUCCUGCCAAAACCCUAAUCAACUUUAGGGUUUUGCAGAUUCUGGAUUUCUCACUUGAAUUCAAUCGAAAACAAGCUCAUGGAAUUUCAGUAUUUCAAUUUUUGGAGGGUUCAAUCUCAGGAAGAAUACAACAAUAUAUAAGUAGAAGCACUGAAGUCGCGGCUUGAUCACUUUCUAUCUAUUAAUGUGUGGCGAUUUAGUUUUGAUCGAACUCUGGGAACGGGAGCUUGCUUCAACUAUGUUGUUUGGGAGCUUCUGCAAAUCUAUUCUGUAGAUCAGAGCUGAAGGUGUUGGCAUAUGAGCAGCACGGAGAGGGCGACCAAACAACCAUUAAAUUGUGGCUGCUACUGUAACAACAUUUACCAGUGCCAAAUCACAUUCAUCCUUUAUUCUGUCAUAUAAAAAAAGUAAAAGAACUUUUAGGGGCUAUGUUUCUAUGAUUUAAUGGUAGAGCGAUUGUGAAAGAUGAAAUGGAAGAAAAAAUCAAUGUCAUUGUUGUUCGAAGCACUAGUCGUUAAGUGCAUACAUGUCCUUACGGUUUUUCAACUCUGAACGAACAGAAAAUCCGAUAGUCACGAACUGUUCAAACAGAAGCUUUUGAAUUUGUUACAGUAUGUUGAUGUCAUACAAUACGCUCAAUUAAACAAAUCAUGUAACAUAUCAGUGAAUCAUACGGUUCUUUAGUGCUAAGAGUAGCAUUUCCUGACAUGAUUUGCAAACUGUAUUAGAAAGCCAGACGAUUUACUGAUACCAUUGAGGCAUUGAUCUACAUUGUAAGAAAGUCAUUUAUGUCUAUAGAAAGUGCUUGGUUGGUUGGGAAACUUAAGAUGGUUUUCCCAUGUUUCUAUUUGGGUUGUAAAUAGUUUUCUUGAGGAUUAAACUAGUUCGAAAGAACGUAAAUUUUUCCUCGAUAUUCCUCACUUUGCUCUUUCUAUUCCGCACAAGGGUAUUUCGCCUUAGAAUUUUUUUUUUGACAAGGGUAG